ACAGACAGACAGACAGACAGACAGACAGACAGACAGACAGACAGACAGACAGACAGACAGACAGACAGACAGACAGACAGACAGACAGACAGACAGACAGACAGACAGACAUCCUGAUAUGUUCUUCAGCUACAUUACUCAGAUGCAGAGAACCACAGAAGUGAACUAAUCUCUGAUGGAAUGACCUGAUUGGUAGCCUGGUAGUAAUAUAAUUCCUGAUGGAAUGACCUGAUUGGUAGCCUGGUAGUAAUAUAAUUCCUGAUGGAAUGCCUGACUGGUAGGCUGGUGAUCUGCAUCAGGACUCCCUACUGCAGGAGGAGGAGUAUGCCACACUGCUUCAGGAGUUAUGGAAAACCUAGGAAUUUGGGGAAAGUUACCGGAAUUUUGCAACCCAAUGAGGACCAAUCUGACAUCACAGCCUAUUCCCUAUACUUCACUUACCAGAGCCCUAUGAGGUUACCAGAGCCCUAUGUGGGUUUACCAGGUUACCAGAGCCCUAUGUGGUUACCAGGUUACCAGAGCUCUAUGUGGUUACCUGGUUACCAGAGCUCUAUGUGGUUACCAGGUUACCAGAGCCCUAUAUGGUUACCAGGAUACCAGAGCUCUAUGUGGGUUUACCAGGUUACCAGAGCUCUAUGUGGUUACCAGGUUACCAGAGCUCUAUGUGGUUACCAGGUUACCAGAGCUCUAUGUGGUUACCAGGUUACCAGUGCUCUAUGUGGUUACCAGGUUACCAGAGCCCUAUAUGGUUACCAGGAUACCAGAGCUCUAUGUGGGUUUACCAGGUUACCAGAGCUCUAUGUGGUUACCAGGUUACCAGAGCCCUAUGAGGUUACCAGGUUACCAGAGUCCUACGAGGUUACCAGGUUACCAGAGUCCUACAGGGUUACCAGAGUCCUACGAGGUUACCAGGUUACCAGAGCCCAAUGAGGUUAUAUCUACAUGUGGAUGGGGAACAGUAGAGAAUAGAGUGUCAUUUGGGAUCUCAGUUUAAAUCUUAGUCUAUGAAAUACUCCUAAAGAAGAGAUCAUCGUCGCCACUUGACAGCGAAACAAACUGUCUGAACAAUGUGUUACAUGUGGUAUUAUACAGAUAUAUUUAUAUAUUGUCUCUUUGCACAUUGUGUGUACACCUUUCCUGUAAUGUAAAUAUUGUAAAUACUAAAUAUAUAUGAAAUAUAAAUAAAUGUGUUUGGUAAAUAA